GCUCCGAAGGCCUAGUGGUUAGAGCGUCCGCCUAGGAUGCGGGAAGUCGUAGGUUCUAUCCCCGGUUGAGUCA